GAAGGUCUGUAGCUCAGUGGUAGAGCAUCUGUUUUGCACGUACGGUAGAAGUUCCUGCGUUCAGUCCCCAGCAUCUUCA